rnacentral:rRNA from 1 species
UGGGUAACCUGCCUCAAAGAGGGGAAUAGCCUCCCGAAAGGGAGAUUAAUACCGCAUAAUAUGUUUAAGUCGCAUGAUUUUAACAUCAAAGGAUUUUCUUUUAGAAAUUCCACUUUGAGAUGGACCCGCGGCGCAUUAGCUAGUUGGUGAGGUAACGGCUCACCAAGGCAACGAUGCGUAGCCGA